rnacentral:rRNA from 1 species
ACGAACGCUGGCGGCGUGCUUAACACAUGCAAGUCGAGCGGUAAGGCCCUUUCGGGGGUACACGAGCGGCGAACGGGUGAGUAACACGUGGGUGACCUGCCCUUAGCUCUGGGAUAAGCCUGGGAAACUGGGUCUAAUACCGGAUAUGACUCCAUGACGCAUGUUGUGGGGUGGAAAGCCUUGUGCGGCUAGGGAUGGGCCCGCGGCCUAUCAGCUUGUUGGUGGGGUGAUGGCCUACCAAGGCGACGACGGGUAGCCGGCCUGAGAGGGCGACCGGCCACACUGGGACUGAGACACGGCCCAGACUCCUACGGGAGGCAGCAUUGGGGAAUCUUGCGCAAUGGGCGAAAGCCUGACGCAGCGACGCCGCGUGAGGGAUGACGGCCUGGUGUAACU